UUAAGCAUAUCAAUAAGCGGAGGAAAAGAAACCAACAGGGAUUACCCUAGUAACGGCGAGUGAAGCGGUAACAGCUCAAAUUUGAAAUCUGGCCUUUACAGGUCCGAGUUGUAAUUUGUAGAGGAUGUUUCGGGCAAGGCUUUGGUUUAAAUUUCUUGGAACAGAAUGUCAUAGAGGGUGAGAGUCCCGUCUAGAACCGAUCGCCGCGUCCAUGUGAAACUCCUUCGACGAGUCGAGUUGUUUGGGAAUGCAGCUCAAAAUGGGUGGUAAAUUUCAUCUAAAGCUAAAUAUUGGCCAGAGACCGAUAGCGCACAAGUAGAGUGAUCGAAAGAUGAAAAGCACUUUGAAAAGAGAGUUAAACAGUAUGUGAAAUUGUUGAAAGGGAAGCGCUUGCAACCAGACUUGCGUGUAGCGGUUCCCCCAGUCUUCUGACUGGGCUAUUCCGUUAUAUCCAGGCCAGCAUCGGUCCGGGUGGUCGGUCAAAGGCCUUGGGAAUGUAUCUACCUUCGGGUCGACUUAUAGCCCAGGGUGUAAUGCGGCCUACCUGGACCGAGGAACGCGCUUCGGCUCGGAUGCUGGCGUAAUGGUUGUAAGCGGCCCGUCUUGAAACACGGACCAAGGAGUCUAACAUCUAUGCGAGUGUUAGGGUGUCAAACCCUUGCGCGUAAUGAAAGUGAACGAGGGAAAGUCGCGUCAAGGGCGCAUUAUCGACCGAUCCUGAUGUCUUCGGAUGGAUUUGAGUAAGAGCAUAGCUGUUGGGACCCGAAAGAUGGUGAACUAUGCCUGAAUAGGGUGAAGCCAGAGGAAACUCUGGUGGAGGCUCGCAGCGGUUCUGACGUGCAAAUCGAUCGUCAAAUUUGGGUAUAGGGGCGAAAGACUAAUCGAACCAUCUGGUAGCUGGUUCCUGUCGAAGUUUCCCUCAGGAUAGCAGUAGCGUUUUCAGUUUUAUGAGGUAAAGCGAAUGAUUAGAGGCCUUGGGGUUGAAACAACCUUAACCUAUUCUCAAACUUUAAAUAUGUAAGAAGUCCUUGUUACUUAAUUGAACGUGGACAUUUGAAUGUACCGUUACUAGUGGGCCAUUUUUGGUAAGCAGAACUGGCGAUGCGGGAUGAACCGAACGUGAGGUUAAGGUGCCGGAAUAUACGCUCAUCAGACACCACAAAAGGUGUCAAUGCAUCCAGACAGCCGGACGGUGGCCAUGGAAGUCGGAAUCCGCUUAGGAGUGUGUAACAACUCACCGGCCGAAUGCAUUGGCCCUGAAAAUGGAUGGCGCUUAAGCGUGUUACCUAUACCUCGCCGUUAGAGUUGUAAUGAUGCUCUAACGAGUAGGCAGGCGUGGGGGUUUGUGACGAAGCCUUGGGGGUGACCCCGGGUCGAACAAC
rnacentral:rRNA from 1 species